UCUCCUCUCGUUCACAGCCAUCAAAUUCCCCAUCCCCAAAUCGGCCGAGCGAUUUCCUCCCGGCCUCUCGCCACCGCGAACCCAAGCAGCCGCAUCGAUGGCCCCCAAGGCGGAGAAGAAGCCGGCGGCGAAGAAGCCCGCGGAGGAGGAGCCCGCGACGGAGAAGGCGGGGAAGGCCCCGGCGGGGAAGAAGCCCAAGGCCGAGAAGCGGCUCCCCGCUGGCAAGUCCGCCGGCAAGGAGGGCGGCGAGGGCAAGAAGGGGAAGAAGAAGGCCAAGAAGUCGGUGGAGACGUACAAGAUCUACAUCUUCAAGGUGCUGAAGCAGGUGCACCCCGACAUCGGCAUCUCCUCCAAGGCCAUGUCCAUCAUGAACUCCUUCAUCAACGACAUCUUCGAGAAGCUCGCCGGCGAGGCAGCCAAGCUCGCGCGCUACAACAAGAAGCCCACCAUCACCUCCCGCGAGAUCCAGACCUCGGUGCGCCUCGUCCUCCCCGGCGAGCUCGCCAAACACGCCGUCUCCGAGGGCACCAAGGCCGUCACCAAGUUCACCUCGUCUUAGAAGCCCAAGGCCGAGAAGCGGCUCCCCGCUGGCAAGUCCGCCGGCAAGGAGGGCGGCGAGGGCAAGAAGGGGAAGAAGAAGGCCAAGAAGUCGGUGGAGACGUACAAGAUCUACAUCUUCAAGGUGCUGAAGCAGGUGCACCCCGACAUCGGCAUCUCCUCCAAGGCCAUGUCCAUCAUGAACUCCUUCAUCAACGACAUCUUCGAGAAGCUCGCCGGCGAGGCCGCCAAGCUCGCGCGCUACAACAAGAAGCCCACCAUCACCUCCCGCGAGAUCCAGACCUCGGUGCGCCUCGUCCUCCCCGGCGAGCUCGCCAAGCACGCCGUCUCCGAGGGCACCAAGGCCGUCACCAAGUUCACCUCGUCUUAGAUGCUAGGCUUUCCCCUCUGCUCUUUGUUGGCGUAAGGCUCCUGGUAGUGAUGCUAGUUUGCUCGGUUUGGCUGGUAGGAUGGUAUAGUUUGGUGCUGGUGGUUCCUGAUAAUGUUCUUUCUGUACGAAGUGAGAAGUGAAAUCUGUUAAUGUUAUCAGAUGCAAUAUUAAUGGUGCUUGUUUAACUCUUA